GAUUAAAAAAAAAAAAAUGAAAUGUUUGCCAUUCUCCUUAACUCCACCAUUAAUCCAAUCUUUAAGCUACGCCCACCUUCCAUCUCAUUUACUGGGUAUCAUUAUCGGCAGAUGUAACGGCUUGGAGCUCGACCUAUAAAUGGCUCUUUUGGGAUCGAUCAAGACCUACAUCGGUUAACGCAUAACCAUCAAAUAUGUCUAAUUCAAACGUUCUUCUCGCCAAUUUAAAAGCCGGCUGUCUGGUAAGGUUCUGGGAGCUAGAAAGGUGGAGAGUUAAUGAUUGGGACAUGGUCUUGAGUCAACUCUUAUCCAAGAGAUCAUCCAUGGCAGUCAGUCGCCUCAAUACUUUCCGGCGUCAUCUCGGUGAAGGUUCUGUGUAAUUCGCUCAGUGGAUUUGAUGUCACACGGAGCCAAAUUUGAAAGGCACGGCUCAAAGCCAAAUUUGAAACUGAUAAUGUACGCCCUGAAGUGUUAACGUAAGUUGCAAAGAGGAUCCUCAUCAUUCACUUGCGCAGCAGGCAAUGAUGAGAACGCCGUCGGAGUUGUAAGGUAAUACAUUUUUAAUACACUAUCAACCAUUAUUCGCAGUUCAUCUGAUACGGCUGUCUUUGUGUCAUUCGACACUGCAAUGGCUCAACUUACGAAUGUUCGAGCUGCAGAAGUAUCCCAACUCACUUGAUUGCUGACUCAUCUAAUAUCACCGCCUAAGCUGUUAAAAGUAAAUUCCUCUCAUGGUCUAAACAAGGGUGCCUUGCCGACAGUGCUGGGUUCGCUACUUCUGGAAUGAUAAGAGGGAGCUACAGCCUCAAUAGACGUGGUGCAUAAUGAACUUUUACACGGUGUUAUAAAACUACAGAUGGUCACCCACUUCGAGGAUGGGCGCGGCAGAAAAAUGCAUGUAAUGCUUAACUUCCCACCUGGUAGUUGUAUGUUCGUUUAAUAACUUCGAAAGCUUUUGCCUUGACAUUUUUAAUAAUAUUUACCUUUCAUUA